AGUUAAAUAGAAGCUGAAUGCGUGAAAUAUGAAUACAUCCUCACGGUCCUCGUCUCGUUAUAGGUUACAAAGUGCCGGGAGCCGUGCAGGGCCAGUGAACCCCUCGCUGAGACUCAGUUUGCUGCCAUCACAAGUGCUCUGAGAAUCCUGGAGAGGGAGGAUAUUGGAGACAAACGGGACUGCUGCCCGCCUUUUAGGCGACCGUUGGAGGCUGCUCUGUGCCGGACACAGGCAGGGAAAAUGUCAGCCCCGCGAGGGAAAUGGC
ensembl:lncRNA novel transcript